GACGUAGGGUGCAAGCGUUGUCCGGAUUUAUUGGGCGUAAAGAGCUCGUAGGCGGUCUGUCGCGUCUGCUGUGAAAACUCAGGGCUUAACCCUGAGCUUGCAGUGGGUACGGGCAGACUAGAGUGCGGUAGGGGAGACUGGAAUUCCUGGUGUAGCGGUGGAAUGCGCAGAUAUCAGGAGGAACACCGAUGGCGAAGGCAGGUCUCUGGGCCGCAACUGACGCUGGAGGAGCGGAAAGCAUGGGGGAGCGAACAGG
rnacentral:rRNA from 1 species